AGCAUUUCACGAAUAAGACCUCUAGUGUUACCACACCUUUUGUCCUGUUUUUGAUCCCGCACGUUUUUUAUUUCCCGCAUAUCGUUGACCAAAGAUCACAACGAUUCUUUGGCGACACCUUAUUGAUUGAUUUCAGGAUAGCUAUUUAUGUCUACAAUUACCGGUAACGUUAAGUUCUUCAACGAAGCAAAAGGCUUUGGUUUUAUCACUCGUGAAGGCGGCGCAGACGUCUUUGUUCACUACAGCUCUAUUCAGGGCAGUGGCUUCAAAACUCUGGCCGAAGGCCAGGAAGUGGAGUUCAGCGUGACCGAAGGCCAAAAAGGCCCGCAGGCAGAGAACGUUAUUGGCCUGUAAAUAACAGCCGAUACGUGAUGAAAAAAGGCAGCCUCAGGCUGCCUUUUUUAU
rnacentral:sRNA from 1 species